rnacentral:misc_RNA from 1 species
GCUGUCGGAUUAUGCCAAGGGCGUUCUGACCGCGCGGGUGAUCCGCAACGUCAUUGAUGCCGCGCGCAAGCUCGGCAAGCGUGUGAUCGUUGAUCCGAAGAGCGCAAACCUGGCGAUUUAUCGCGGUGCAACGCUGCUGACGCCGAACCGCAAGGAGUUUGCAGAGGCGACGCGGCGGCGCAUCCUUUCGGACGCCGAUAUAGCCGAUGCGUCGAUCGAGGCGCUGCGGACCGCCGAC